rnacentral:rRNA from 1 species
UACGUAGGUGGCGAGCGUUGUCCGGAUUUAUUGGGCGUAAAGCGCGCGCAGGCGGUGCGGUAAGUCUGUCGUGAAAUCUCCCGGCUCAACUGGGAAUGGCGCUUGUGACUGCAAAGCUGGAGUGCGGCAGAGGGGGAUGGAAUUCCGCGUGUAGCAGUGAAAUGCGUAGAUAUGCGGAGGAACACCGAUGGCGAAGGCAAUCCCCUGGGCCUGCACUGACGCUCAUGCACGAAAGCGUGGGGAGCAAACAGG